rnacentral:misc_RNA from 1 species
GAUGAAGAACGUAGCGAAAUGCGAUAAGUAAUGCGAAUUGCAGAAUUUCCGUGAGUCAUCGAAUCUUUGAACGCACAUUGCGCCCGCUAGUAUUCUGGCGGGCAUGCCUGUUCGAGCGUCAUUUCAACCAUCAAGCCCCAGGCUUGCGUUGGGGGCCUGCGGCUGCCGCAGCCCCUGAAAAGCAGUGGCGGGCUCGCUGUCAUUCCGAGCGUAGUAGUUACAUCUCGCUCCGGGCGUGGCGGUGGGCACCUGCCGUGAAACACUCUAUCUAAGGUUGACCUCGGAUCAGGUAGGAAUACCCGCUGAACUUAAGCAUAUCAAUAAGCGGAGGA